AGGCUGAGGCUAGACAAUCACUUGAACCCAGAAGGCAGAGCUUGCAGUGAACUUUGAUGGUGCCACUGUACUCCAGUCUGGGUGACAGAGUGAGACUCUGUCUCCAAAAGCAAAAC